ACACAUGCAAGUCGAACGAUGAAGCUGGUGCUUGCACUGGUGGAUUAGUGGCGAACGGGUGAGUAACACGUGAGCAACCUGCCCCUGACUCUGGGAUAAGCGCUGGAAACGGCGUCUAAUACUGGAUAUGUCCUGCCACCGCAUGGUGUGUGGGUGGAAAGAUUUUUCGGUUGGGGAUGGGCUCGCGGCCUAUCAGCUUGUUGGUGAGGUAAUGGCUCACCAAGGCGUCGACGGGUAGCCGGCCUGAGAGGGUGACCGGCCACACUGGGACUGAGACACGGCCCAGACUCCUACGGGAGGCAGCAGUGGGGAAUAUUGCACAAUGGGCGGAAGCCUGAUGCAGCAACGCCGCGUGAGGGAUGACGGCCUUCGGGUUGUAAACCUCUUUUAGCAGGGAAGAAGCUUUCGGGUGACGGUACCUGCAGAAAAAGCACCGGCUAACUACGUGCCAGCAGCCGCGGUAAUACGUAGGGUGCAAGCGUUAUCCGGAAUUAUUGGGCGUAAAGAGCUCGUAGGCGGUUUGUCGCGUCUGCUGUGAAAUUCCGAGGCUCAACCUCGGGCUUGCAGUGGGUACGGGCAGACUAGAGUGCGGUAGGGGAGAUUGGAAUUCCUGGUGUAGCGGUGGAAUGCGCAGAUAUCAGGAGGAACACCGAUGGCGAAGGCAGAUCUCUGGGCCGUAACUGACGCUGAGGAGCGAAAGGGUGGGGAGCAAACAGGCUUAGAUACCCUGGUAGUCCACCCCGUAAACGUUGGGAACUAGUUGUGGGGUCCUUUCCACGGAUUCCGUGACGCAGCUAACGCAUUAAGUUCCCCGCCUGGGGAGUACGGCCGCAAGGCUAAAACUCAAAGGAAUUGACGGGGACCCGCACAAGCGGCGGAGCAUGCGGAUUAAUUCGAUGCAACGCGAAGAACCUUACCAAGGCUUGACAUACACGAGAACGGGCCAGAAUGGUCAACU
rnacentral:rRNA from 1 species